rnacentral:rRNA from 1 species
AUACGGAGGGGGCUAGCGUUGUUCGGAAUUACUGGGCGUAAAGCGCGCGUAGGCGGACCAGUCAGUCAGGGGUGAAAUCCCGGGGCUCAACCCCGGAACUGCCUUUGAUACUGCUGGUCUUGAGUUCGAGAGAGGUGAGUGGAAUUCCGAGUGUAGAGGUGAAAUUCGUAGAUAUUCGGAGGAACACCAGUGGCGAAGGCGGCUCACUGGCUCGAUGCUGACGCUGAGGUGCGAAAGCGUGGGGAGCAAACAGGAUUAGAAACCCUAGUAGUCC